rnacentral:rRNA from 1 species
ACGCUGGCGGCAGGCCUAACACAUGCAAGUCGAGCGGUAGAGAGAAGCUUGCUUCUCUUGAGAGCGGCGGACGGGUGAGUAAUGCCUAGGAAUCUGCCUGGUAGUGGGGGAUAACGUUCGGAAACGGACGCUAAUACCGCAUACGUCCUACGGGAGAAAGCAGGGGACCUUCGGGCCUUGCGCCAUCAGAUGAGCCUAGGUCGGAUUAGCUAGUUGGUGGGGUAAUGGCUCACCAAGGCGACGAUCCGUAACUGGUCUGAGAGGAUGAUCAGUCACACUGGAACUGAGACACGGUCCAGACUCCUACGGGAGGCAGCAGUGGGGAAUAUUGGACAAUGGGCGAAAGCCUGAUCCAGCCAUGCCGCGUGUGUGAAGAAGGUCUUCGGAUUGUAAAGCACUUUAAGUUGGGAGGAAGGGCAGUAAAUUAAUACUUUGCUGUUUUGACGUUACCGACAGGAUAAGCACCGGCUAACUCUGUGCCAGCAGCCGCGGUAAUACAGAGGGUGCAAGCGUUAAUCGGAAUUACUGGGCGUAAAGCGCGCGUAGGUGGUUCGUUAAGUUGGAUGUGAAAUCCCCGGGCUCAACCUGGGAACUGCAUUCAAAACUGACGAGCUAGAGUAUGGUAGAGGGUGGUGGAAUUUCCUGUGUAGCGGUGAAAUGCGUAGAUAUAGGAAGGAACACCAGUGGCGAAGGCGACCACCUGGACUGAUACUGACACUGAGGUGCGUAAGCGUGGGGAGCAAAC